ensembl:lncRNA
GCGACUUUCACUUUGAACCUGGUCAGGGGAAGGCUCGGGAUGAAGCAUGCAGUCAGAGUACCAGAGGUUAGGGGCCUUGUUCAUCUUUGUUUCUAACUGACAAAUUGGAAAAAACCCUAAACGUCCAAGAAGAAGAAAUUAAUAAAGUAAAUUAUGGAAGAGCCAUGACCUUCACUGCUCACCUGCUGGAUUUUUGGAGAGGCCAUGAGAGAAUGUAUCAGCCAACAGCUCAGCAGUUAACUCUGGCCACACUUCUGGCCUGAAUCCUGCUAACUCCCACCAUGGGAAGCUUGGUUACAUUAAUUUAGAGUAAAAGACUUUAAGGUCCU